rnacentral:lncRNA from 1 species
GAUGUUUCCACACAUGACCCAGAAGAGAAUGGGAUGGGGAAGAGAAACAAAGGAAAAGGGAAAGGAUGGAAGGGAAGAGAAGGGUUGGCCGAGCAAAGCUUCUUAGAGGAAGAACUCUGCUUGUCAGUCUGGAAAGAUAAGUAGAAAUUACUGAGUUAUCAAUUAUUUGCAUUAACAAAGGGGAAUUUCAGACAGAGGUGGGUGACGGGCAGAGGUGGAUGUGGCAUACCCAGGGUCCUAGGAGAAUGCUCACGAGCAGCCUUGAGAGUCAAGCGAGGAAGUGUGCAUUUGGUCUGUAAUCAAUGGGCCCCUGUGGAAGACUCUGAGCAGGGGGUGGCCCAAUCAGAUUUAUGACUUACAAACAUUACUUUUAGUGUCAUGAGAGAUGGACUAGACGGAAUCUUCCCCCUCCACAGGCCAAAGUGAUGGAAAGUCUCACCACUUUUUAAAUCUCUAACUGGGAAAAAUACAUUCUCUCUAGAAAAGAAGUUAACAGCAUGCGAACACCUUCCCUGGGUGUCUCUCCUUGUCUCCCUGGGUAACUCCUUAACCCUCACCUACUAUACGUUAGCACCCACCAACACAAAAAUGCCCACAGCACGUGAGCCUCAGUCCCCUUCUCAGAUUAGGUGACAAAGAAAAUCUAGGCCCCAAGAUCAUGCAGCACAGUCGUGAGGCUGAGGAGCAGGAAGAAGUGGCAGAAAUGGAGAUGGUAGUUCAUUCAUUCCUUCAUCCUUUUUUCACCGAAAGUCGCCGAGCAUCUCCUAGGUCCUGGGACCAUGGAGGGGAAAUCUUGGCCAGUGUCCCAUCAGAACUCACAGCUCUUGGCAGCUGACUCCGAGCGGGGUUUUCUGCCUUUUCCAAAGGAAACACCCUCUGUCUUCGCCCCUCUCUUCAUUCUUUGAAUUCACAUCCGGCCGAGGCGUUUGGGUCUGCAAUCCUAGUGGGAUGAAAAGGGAGACUGUCCAGGGAGAGAAACUAGACCGCCCACCUGGAGACAGCCUGUGUGUGAGGCCUGGGCACCUGCCCUGGGGUCAGAAAGACUCUGCCCCUCCCUGGCUGGGCCACCUGAGAAAAGCUGCCAGACCUCUCUGAGGCGCAUUGCCCUCACUUCCAGAAUGGGGAGCUGUCAGGACUCAGUGAGCCCAGUGCUGAGCAGCCCUGGCUCUCCUCAGCUCCUCCAGCCUGGCCUGCCCCUUCCCACCUGCUCUGCGCACCUGACCUUCUCUUCUCCGAAAGAGCAGAGGUUUCCACUCC